rnacentral:rRNA from 1 species
GAAUAUUUAAAGCUCCGGCGGUUACAGAUGGGCAUGCGUGACAUUAGUUUGUUGGUGAGGUAACGGCUCACCAAGACUACGAUGUCUAGGGGGUCUUAAAGGAUGAUCCCCCACACUGGUACUGAGACACGGACCAGACUCCUACGGGAGGCAGCAGUGGGGAAUAUUGGUCAAUGGGCGCAAGCCUGAACCAGCCACUCCGCGUGUAGGAUGACGGCCCUAUGGGUUGUAAACUACUUUUAUAUAGGAAGAAACCUCCGGACGUGUUCGGAGCUGACUGUACUAUAAGAAUAAGCAUCGGCUAACUCCGUGCCAGCAGCCGCGGUAAUACGGAGGAUGCAAGCGUUAUCCGGAUUUAUUAGGUCUAAAGGGUGCGUAGGCGGAUAAUUAAGUCAGUGGUGAAAUCCUGCAGCUCAACUGCAGAACUGCCAUUGAUACUGGUUAUCUUGAGUUUUGUUGAGGUAGGCGGAAUGUGAAGUGUAGCGGUGAAAUGCUUAGAUAUUACACAGAACACCGAUUGCGAAGGCAGCUUACUAAGCAAAUACUGACGCUGAGGCACGAAAGCGUGGGGAGCGAACAGGAUUAGAUACCCUGGUAGUCCACGCCGUAAACGAUGAUCACUCGUUGUGUAUCAAAUUAAUGGUACGUGACCGAGCGAAAGCAUUAAGUGAUCCACCUGGGGAGUACGUUCGCAAGAAUGAAACUCAAAGGAAUUGACGGGGGCCCGCACAAGCGGAGGAACAUGUGGUUUAAUUCGAUGAUACGCGAGGAACCUUACCUGGGCUUAAAUGUAGAGUGACUUUUGCCGAAAGGCAUUUUCCCUUCGGGGCAAUCUACAAGGUGCUGCAUGGUUGUCGUCAGCUCGUGCCGUGAGGUGUCGGGUUAAGUCCCAUAACGAGCGCAACCCUCAUCGUUAGUUACCAGCGGGUCAUGCCGGGGACUCUAACGAGACUGCCACCGUAAGGUGAGAGGAAGGUGGGGAUGACGUCAAAUCAGCACGGCCCUUAUGUCCAGGGCUACACACGUGUUACAAUGGUUAGUACAAAGGGAAGCUACCUGGCAACAGGAUGCAAAUCUCCAAAGCUGAUCUCAGUUCGGAUCGGAGUCUGCAACUCGACUCCGUGAAGUUGGAUUCGCUAGUAAUCGCGUAUCAGCAACGACGCGGUGAAUACGUUCCCGGGCCUUGUACACACCGCCCGUCAAGCCAUGGAAGCUGGGGGUGCCUAAAGUCCGUAACCGUAAGGAGCGGCCUAGGGUAAAACUAGUGACUGGGGCUAAGUCGAAACAAGGUA